rnacentral:rRNA from 1 species
AGCUCCAAUAGCGUAUAUUAAUGUUGUUGCAGUUAAAAAGCUCGUAGUUGGAUUUCUGUUUGAGUCGAUCGGUCCGUUUCUAACGAGACGUGUACUUUGUGUCGUACUUGGACAUUUUUGAGGAGAAUGCGUUCGUCAUUAAUUUGUUGGGCGUAGUAUCCUCAUCGUUUACUGUGAAAAAAUUAGAGUGUUUAAAGCAGGCAAUUGCUGUGAAUACAUUAGCAUGGAAUAAUAAGAUAGGACUUUGGUCUAUUUUGUUGGUUUGCGUACCAAGGUAAUGAUUAACAGGGACAGUUGGGGGUAUUCGUAUUUAAUUGUCAGAGGUGAAAUUCUUGGAUUUAUGAAAGACGAACUACUGCGAAAGCAUUUACCAAGGAUGUUUUCAUUA